UGAGGUGUCAAGGAGAUGGGGGUUUGAUGAUUCAAGUCCUAAGUUUUUUCAAAGAGGUUUGUAUGUUACCAAGAAGGUUAUUGAUGUAAUAAUGAUAAGCUGAGGAAGGGGGAAAAAGUACUUCAUCGGUCUGAAGUUAGAGUUGGUUGUCCAAUAUUUCUUUCUAUUAAUUAAACCAAAUUCCAAUGGUUGGGUAGUGCACAAAUUUAAGGCAUAUCACAAUCACCCACUGGUUCUUCAAGACCAAUCAGUUAGGCUCCGAUCACACCAACAAUUGGUAGAUGGUGUAAAAGUUUUAGUUGAUAAUCUCCAUAGUGUUGGUAUAGGUCAAACACAAAUAGUUGAUGUCGUUGUGGAAUUCUAUGGUGGUUAUUGAUAAUAUUGGUGUGAUAGAGGGGACACUUAAAGGUUAUACGAAAACAAAUGAA